AGCAAUAAUGUGACACGUGUCUGCGAGUAUUUAAGGCGUCGUCUAGACGCUAGAUAUUAACAUUCGUACGGAGUCUUGCCUCUACAAAUGUACCACAACUAUAUCACCAUCGUCGAUCGAUUCGCUUAUCAGGAACGACCCUUUCAAUCCAUGAGUGAGUAGGUGCUGGCGUGGUUACUCUGGCUGCCUUUCAAACUGAUUCAAAUGAGGUUUCAUCACUGCUGGUAUUCAUCAUAUAGUCAUGUCCUUUAAUUCACAUUACUAAACGGUUACUUCUGAAUGUAAAUAGAAAUUAUUAAACAUCGAAAAUCUUAUCAAUAAAGUUUAAA